rnacentral:rRNA from 1 species
GACAGAGGGUGCAAACGUUGUUCGGAAUUACUGGGCGUAAAGCGUGUGUAGGCGGCCAUGCAAGUCGGGUGUGAAAGCCCUGGGCUCAACCCAGGAAGUGCACUCGAAACUGUCAGGCUUGAAUAUGGAAGAGGGUCGCGGAAUUCCCGGUGUAGAGGUGAAAUUCGUAGAUAUCGGGAGGAACACCAGUGGCGAAGGCGGCGACCUGGGCCAAUAUUGACGCUGAGGUGCGAAAGCGUGGGGAGCAAACAGG